CCUACGGGAGGCAGCAGUGAGGAAUAUUGGUCAAUGGGAGGAAUCCUGAACCAGCCAUGCCGCGUGCAGGACGACGGCUCUACGAGUUGUAAACUGCUUUUGUACCGGGGUAAAAUGCUCUACGAGUAGGGUUUUGAAAGUACGGUACGAAUAAGGAUCGGCUAACUCCGUGCCAGCAGCCGCGGUAAUACGGAGGAUGCGAGCGUUAUCCGGAUUUAUUGGGUUUAAAGGGUGCGCAGGCGGCCUGUUAAGUCAGCGGUAAAAGCCCGGGGCUCAACCCCGGCGAGCCGUUGAAACUGGCGGGCUGGAGUUGGAGAGAAGUACGCGGAAUGCGCGGUGUAGCGGUGAAAUGCUUAGAUAUCGCGCAGAACCCCGAUUGCGAAGGCAGCGUACCGGCUCCACACUGACGCUGAGGCACGAAAGCGUGGGUAUCGAACAGGAUUAGAUACCCCAGUAGUC
rnacentral:rRNA from 1 species